rnacentral:rRNA from 1 species
AGGUCAAGCUACAAAGGGCGCAUGGUGAAUGCCUUGGCACUAGGAGCCGAAGAAGGACGCGAUAAGCUGCGAUAAGCUUUGGGUAGGCGCAAAUAGCCAGUGAUCCAGAGAUUUCCGAAUGGGGAAACCUACAUAGUUAACACUAUGUACUGUGCACUGAAUAAAUAGGUGUAUGGAGGUAAACCCGGGGAACUGAAACAUCUAAGUACCCGGAGGAAGAGAAAGAAACAUCGAUUUCCAAAGUAGCGGCGAGCGAAAUGGAAAGAGCCCAAACCUAAGCCUUUGGCUUAGGGGUUGAGGACAGAACAUAAAUGCACAAAUUUUUUAGUCGAAGACAGCUGGAAAGCUGCUCCGCAGAAGGUAAUAGGCCUGUAGACAAAAAGAAAUGAGUGAAAGUUCUGAUCCAGAGUACCACGAGACACGUGAAACCUUGUGGGAAGCAGGGAGGACCACCUCCCAAGGCUAAAUACUACCUAGUGACCGAUAGUGAAGAAGUACCGUGAGGGAAAGGUGAAAAGAACCCCGGAAGGGGAGUGAAAUAGAACCUGAAACCGUGUGCCUACAACCGGUCGAAGCACUUUAUAUGUGUGACGACGUGCUUUUUGUAGAACGAGCCAACGAGUUACGAUAUGUAGCGAGGUUAAGUACUUAAGGUACGGAGCCGAAGGGAAACCGAGUCUGAAUAGGGCGUAUAGUUGCAUGUCGUAGACCCGAAACCGGGUGACCUAUCCAUGGCCAGGAUGAAGCGACAGUAAAAUGUCGUGGAGGUCCGAACCACGUUGGUGUUGAAAAACCAUGGGAUGAGCUGUGGAUAGCGGAGAAAUUCCAAUCGAACUCGGAGAUAGCUGGUUCUCCUCGAAAUAGCUUUAGGGCUAGCGUCGGUUAAUUGAGUAAUGGAGGUAGAGCACUGAAUAGGCUAGGGGGCAUAACGCUUACUGAACCUUAUCAAACUCCGAAUGCCAUAUACUUUUAUUCCGGCAGUCAGACUGCGAAUGAUAAGAUCCGUAGUCAAAAGGGAAACAGCCCAGACCAUCAGCUAAGGUCCCAAAGUGUAAGUUAAGUGGUAAAGGAUGUGGGAUUUCUAAGACAACUAGGAUGUUGGCUUAGAAGCAGCCACUCAUUUAAAGAGUGCGUAAUAGCUCACUAGUCAAGAGAUCCCGCGCCGAAGAUGUCCGGGGCUAAAACUUACCACCGAAGCUAUGGAUGUGUACUACGUACACGUGGUAGAGGAGCUUUCUGCAUUGGCUGAAGUCGUACCGAAAGGAGCGGUGGACGAUGCAGAAGUGAGAAUGUUGGCAUAAGUAGCGAGAGCUAGGUGAGAAUCCUAGCGGUCGAAAACCUAAGGUUUCCUGAGGAAGGCUCGUCCUCUCAGGGUUAGUCGGGACCUAAGCCGAGGCCGAAAGGCGUAGGUGAUGGACAACGGGUUGAUAUUCCCGUACCACUUGCAGACGUUAUUACAAAUGGGGUGACGCAGGAGGAUAGGUUGUGCAUACUAUUGGAUGUAUGUUCAAGCAUUUAGGAGUAGCUAGUAGGCAAAUCCGCUAGCCGAAUCUGAGGUGUGAUGAGGAGCUCAAUAGAGCGAAGUAACUGAUUCCACGCUGCCAAGAAAAGCCUCUAUGGAGGAAGCAAGUGCCCGUACCGCAAACCGACACAGGUAGGUGAGGAGAGAAUCCUAAGACCAUCGGAAGAACUGCUGUUAAGGAACUCGGCAAAUUGACCCCGUAACUUCGGGAGAAGGGGUGCCUACGCAAGUAGGUCGCAGAGAAUAGGCCCAAGCAACUGUUUAGCAAAAACACAGGUCUCUGCUAAAGCGAAAGCUGAUGUAUAGGGGCUGACGCCUGCCCGGUGCUGGAAGGUUAAGGGGAAUGCUUAGCGCAAGCGAAGGUAUGAACUUAAGCCCCAGUAAACGGCGGCCGUAACUAUAACGGUCCUAAGGUAGCGAAAUUCCUUGUCGGGUAAGUUCCGACCCGCACGAAUGGCGUAAUGAUUUGGGCACUGUCUCAACAGCAAAUCCGGCGAAAUUGUAGUACCAGUGAAGAUGCUGGUUACCCGCGAUUGGACGGAAAGACCCCGUAGAGCUUUACUGUAGUUUAGCAUUGAGUUUCGGUAUUGUCUGUACAGGAUAGGUGGGAGGCUGAGAAACAGGACCGUCAGGUUCUGCGGAGCCAUCCUUGGGAUACCACCCUGACAGUACUGGGAUUCUAACUGGAGGCCAUGAAACUGGUCACAGGACAUUGCUAGAUGGGCAGUUUGACUGGGGCGGUCGCCUCCAAAAAAGUAACGGAGGCGCCCAAAGGUUCCCUCAGCGCGGUCGGAAAUCGCGCGAAGAGUGCAAAGGCAGAAGGGAGCCUGACUGCGAGACCUACAAGUCGAGCAGGGACGAAAGUCGGGCUUAGUGAUCCGGUGGUACCUCGUGGGAGGGCCAUCGCUCAACGGAUAAAAGCUACCUCGGGGAUAACAGGCUGAUCUCCCCCAAGAGUCCACAUCGACGGGGAGGUUUGGCACCUCGAUGUCGGCUCGUCGCAUCCUGGGGCUGAAGUAGGUCCCAAGGGUUGGGCUGUUCGCCCAUUAAAGCGGCACGCGAGCUGGGUUCAGAACGUCGUGAGACAGUUCGGUCCCUAUCCGUCGCGGGCGUAGGAAAUUUGAAGGGAGCUGUCCUUAGUACGAGAGGACCGGGAUGGACAGACCUCUGGUGCACCAGUUGUCACGCCAGUGGCACAGCUGGGUAGCUAUGUCUGGAAGGGAUAAACGCUGAAAGCAUCUAAGCGUGAAGCCCACCCUAAGAUGAGAUUUCCCAUAACGUAAGUUAGUAAGACUCCUGGAAGACCACCAGGUUGAUAGGUGAGGGGUGUAAGCAUGGUAACAUGUUCAGCUGACUCAUACUAAUAAGUCGAGGGCUUGAUCUAAA